rnacentral:lncRNA from 1 species
UUAGAUACGAUCUAUAUACAUGCUUAGGAUCGUAUAGCGUUUAUCCAUCGGAUCCAUGGGUAAAUGGUAGAUAUUGUGUAGGCGUGGUGCUUAUACCGUAUUUAUCUGCGAUUGUACCCAAUAUGCCAGAUCGUGGGGUAGUUCGUGAUAGUGACAGCUUCAUUGAUUCUUAUAUAGUCCCCCUCUCGUGUAUUGGGCUGGC